GACGAACGCUGGCGGCGUGCUUAACACAUGCAAGUCGAACGGAAGGGCCCUGCUUUUGUGGGGUGCUCGAGUGGCGAACGGGUGAGUAACACGUGAGUAACCUGCCCUUGACUUUGGGAUAACUUCAGGAAACUGGGGCUAAUACUGGAUAGGAGCUCCUGCUGCAUGGUGGGGGUUGGAAAGUUUCGGCGGUUGGGGAUGGACUCGCGGCUUAUCAGCUUGUUGGUGGGGUAGUGGCUUACCAAGGCUUUGACGGGUAGCCGGCCUGAGAGGGUGACCGGCCACAUUGGGACUGAGAUACGGCCCAGACUCCUACGGGAGGCAGCAGUGGGGAAUAUUGCACAAUGGGCGGAAGCCUGAUGCAGCAACGCCGCGUGCGGGAUGACGGCCUUCGGGUUGUAAACCGCUUCCGCCUGUGACGAAGCGUGAGUGACGGUAAUGGGUAAAGAAGCACCGGCUAACUACGUG
rnacentral:rRNA from 1 species